AUGUUGCUUUCCAUCCUUCUGAAGGUGGUCAUGGCUUCCACGUUGCUGGUUCCUCAUGUUAAGAAUCAAGAACAUUAUUUAGGGGACACUCUGGAGAUGAAGUCUUCUGCAGGCUUAGUGACUGUGGUACUCUUAGUGCUUGGACGAGCCCAUGGAGACUCAGUGUCCCAGACUGAAGGCCCAGUGACUCUCUCAGAAGGGAGUUCCCUGAAUGUGAACUGCUCUUAUGAAGCCUCAGGGUACCCCACUCUCUUCUGGUAUGUUCAGUAUCCUGGAGAAGGUCCACAGCUACUCCUGAAAGCCAUGACGGCUGGUGAGAAGGACGCAACAAAGGUUUUGAAGCCACCUACCACAAAGAAUCAAAAUUAUUCCACCUGGAGAAAGCCUCCGUGCACGAGUCAGAUUCGGCUAUGUACUACUGUGCUCUGA